rnacentral:rRNA from 1 species
GACAGAGGGUGCAAACGUUGUUCGGAAUUACUGGGCGGAAAGCGCGUGUAGGCUGCUUCGCAAGUCGGAUGUGAAAGCCCUGGGCUCAACCUAGGAAGUGCAUUCGAAACUGCGAAGCUUGAGUCCUGGAGAGGAGGGCGGAAUUCUCGGUGUAGAGGUGAAAUUCGCAGAUAUCGAGAGGAACACCGGUGGCGAAGGCGGCCUUCUGGACAGUGACUGACGCUGAGACGCGAAAGCGUGGGGAGCAAACAGG